AGCUCCAAUAGCGUAUAUUAAAGUUGUUGCAGUUAAAAAGCUCGUAGUUGAAUUUCGGAGGAGAACCCUUGGUGUACCUUCGGGUACCACUGGGGCGUUCGAAUCUUUCUUCUGGGGAAACUUGGUGUCCUUAACCGGACGCCCAGGGGAACCAGGACGAUUACCUUGAGAAAAAUAGAGUGUUCAAAGCAGGCUUGUGCUUGAAUACGUUAGCAUGGAAUAAUAAAAUAGGACUUUGGUUCUAUUUUGUUGGUUUUAAGGACCAAUGUCAUGAUGAAUAGGGACAGUUGGGGGCAUUAGUAUUUCGAAGCUAGAGGUGAAAUUCUUGGAUUUUCGAAAGACUAACUACUGCGAAAGCAUUUGCCAAGGAUGUUUUCA
rnacentral:rRNA from 1 species